UACGGGGGGGGCAAGCGUUGUUCGGAAUUACUGGGCGUAAAGGGCUCGUAGGUGGCCAACUAAGUCAGACGUGAAAUCCCUCAGCUUAACUGGGGAACUGCGUGUGAGACUGGCAGGCUUGAGUGCAGGAGAGGAACGCGGAAUUCCAGGUGUAGCGGUGAAAUGCGUAGAUAUCUGGAGGAACACCGGUGGCGAAGGCGGCGUUCUGGGACUGUAUCUGACACUGAUAGACGAAAGCCAGGGGAGCAAACGGG
rnacentral:rRNA from 1 species